GUGGCUGAGCUGGAGACGGAUGGACGUGGGGCGUUCCCAUUCCGAAUCGACAGAACCCUCCUUGAGGCGGGAUUCCAGGGGGUCGAGAAGGCCGAAGGUGAUUCCUGCUCCUUCUGCUCAGAGAAGUUGGGGAGGGGGAAGGACCUGACCUGGGGAGGGCUCAGAGGGUGGCAUCUUGGACCAGCGCGGGGCCGGCGGGACUCAGGGAGGGCGGGCAAGGCUGGGGACCAGCCCCCAGGACCCUGGUUUGAGGCUGAGCUUUCUCCUUCCGGAACGGGCGCCGCGGAAAGGACCGAGGGGCGCCAGGCACAGGGCACUUCCCGUUGGCGACACGGUGACACGGGGCUGGCGCGCCUGGGACUUCGCGGCGGAGGGGAGCGAGUGCGGGCCUGCGGCCCGGGACGAGAGAAUCGUCGGAGGGGACGGGGCAGGUGGCCUGAGCGGACGCGGGAGCCGGGAGCGUGGAGGGCGCGCGGGGGGCGCGAGCCGCGGCACGGGGCGCCCGGCUCCGCGCGCGGCGGGGCGGGCGGGCGGCGGGGCGGGGCGCGGGCCGCGCGGGGCUGGAAGCCGCCGGCGGGGGGCGCCCGCGGGCGGAGCCGGAGCCCCAGCGACGCCGAGACCGCGGGUGCCGGCGCUCGAGCAGCAGGUCAGUGGGGGCCGCGGGUCUGGGGUCGCAGGCGGGCGGCCAGGGUCGUGGGGCCGGGAGCGCGGGCGGCGCGGACCCCCUCCUUCAGGCGCGCAGCCGCUGUGUCUCUUCCCGCCGCUCCGACAGCCGGUUCGAGGGCUGUGGUCCGCGCCCCGCCGGCGGCGGGCGCGGGGGCAGCUCGGGCGCGCCGCCGGCUCCCCAGCCCGGUCGGGGGGCGCUGCGCGGACCCCUCCGGGCCGCCCCCCGACUGGACCGGAAGGCGCGCGGGGCAGGCGGCGAGGGGAAGGGGCGAGAGCGCGCGGCCCCGGCGCAGGGGCGGGGGCGGCCCCGGUGCGCCCGGGGCCCCGGGCCCUCGUCGAGCCUGCGGGGGCCGCAGAGGCCGGCCGGAGCGGAGCGGGCGGCCCCCGCGGGCCGGGACUUCCACAGGCGGAGCGCGCGAGCGUCCCGACGUCCCGGGUAGGCAGGCUGAGCGGACGGCGUCCGAGCGCCUGGGGCGCGGCGAGGGACGGAGCUGA
rnacentral:lncRNA from 1 species